CAAACCACUGUAUGUAAAACCACAGUUUUACAAAAAAUGUGUUUUUGAUCAAUUAGUUCACUAAAACAAAACAAGGUACAUGCAGAGAAGAAGCUCAGUGACAGUUUAUCAGCAUACAAUUAUUUGAUUUUUUGUCUUGAGACAGGAAUGGUCCCAAAAUAAUUAAAUGUAAGGAUGGAAAUGUAACAAAGAAUUAGUCCAGCAUUUUAAAGAUUAACAAACAACUAUUAUUUAUUUUAAUAACACCUCUGGUACUUGUUUUUUUUAAAUUUUUUUUUUCUUCCCCUUUUUUCUUUUGUUAGUUGUGUGUGUGGGUUCAGCUCCACCAGUUGAUUUCCAGAGUAUGGAUUGCUCACCUCCAAGACGGAUCCAUAGUAAAGAGAUGUCCUGUAGGAGCAACGCUGCAGAAGCCAUUGAUUAUUCAGAAAGGUCAGCCCCCAAACCUGUGCA